GAGCAAACAGAACAUGUGCUUGCUUUAGAGAGUCCUCAACUGACCCCUUUGGGGGUGUGCGUGGACGAGAGCCAGAUGGCUGCUUAUCGCAAGCCCUUGCCUCGUCGGAGAUUUACCUCUCGGAUCUCCAAUACGGCGUGCCGUUUCAGGUUCGUCAUACCGCUCUGGUCUUCUAUUCUAUCGAUUAUGAGUGAUGCCGAUUGCUGAGGAGCACGAACGAUGUGAUUAGGGCUUCGUAUAUCGAGAGAAUUCUCUACUACACCGGAAAGAUCCACGAGAUUCAUGAGGUCAGAGGCCGAGAUGGCGUCGCUGCCAAAAUGGAUUCCAUGGAUUUUUUUGGUUUGGGGGGGAGAAAGGAAUUACCAUUCAGUUUACUGCACUUGGAAUGCUUAUCAGAUUAACAUUAUUGAAACCCCUGAUCACGUUGAUUUCACCAUUGAGGUCGAGAGAGCUUUGCGUGUUCUUGAUGGAGCCAUCCUUGUCAUUUGUAGCGUUGGUGGUGUACAGAUUAGUCAGUGUUGGUGGUGUACAGAUCAGUCAGUCAAUUACUAUUGAUAGGCAAAUGAAAAAAUAUGAGGUUCCAAGAAUUGCAUUUACAAACAAACUUGAUCGAAUAGGAGCAGAUCAAUGUAAAGUUCUGAAUCAGCAUACUAUUUUUGGAAUGUAUUUCAUGUAUUAUUGGUAUGACUCAGAGGAACUACAUGCCGAAUGGGAAGUUCAUGGUUCCUGAAUAGCAAUUGCACUGCGGAAGGAAAUUUCAUGCGACUGAACAGCAAUUGCAAACCAAGUUGUAAUAUAUUGGGCCUGAACAGCAGGGCAGAAUGACAGCUUAAGAAUCUCAUGUUAUUACAAUACCAAUUGACUUGCAGAUGAGAUAUAUGUAGCUUACCUUUGAGAUCAAAAUAUUGUUAGUCAUGUUCGAUUUGAAUGGUAUUAGUAGUAGUUUAUUAAAAAAUGUUGGACACGACAAUAUUCAUGUAAGGUAUUGAAUGUACCUUAUUGAAAAUCUUAAGGUGGUGUUU